rnacentral:rRNA from 1 species
UACACACCGCCCGUCACACCAUGGGAGUUGGUAACGCCCGAAGCCAGUGACCCAACCGGAAACGGAGGGAGCUGUCGAAGGUGGGACCGAUAACUGGGGUGAAGUCGUAACAAGGUACC